rnacentral:rRNA from 1 species
UUGUACCUUUUGCAUCAUGAUUUAGCCAGCAUUUUUUGAGCAAAAGGAAUUUUAGUUCAAAGCCGCGAAACUAGACGAGCUACUCCGAGACAGCCAACCAUUGGGCAAACCCGUCUCUGUGGCAAAAGAGUGGGAAGAGCUUUGAGUAGAGGUGAAAAGCCUAUCGAGUUUAGUUAUAGCUGGUUGCCUAAGAAAUGGACAUAAGUUCAGCCUCCUAGUUUCUACCGUCAAAACCACUCAAAGAAAAGAGAAACUAAGAGAGUUAGUCAAAAGAGGUCCAGCCCUUUUGACAAAGGACACAACCUUAUCAGCAGGAAAAAGAUCACACCCCCUAAGGAUAUUUCAAUUAAAGUGGGCCUAAAAGCAGCCAUCUUCAAAGAAAGCGUUACAGCUUAAUUUCUUACGCCACCAUCAAUAAGGAUAAAAAAUUCUUAACCCCCUGACAAUAAUAGGCCACUCCACCUCCAUGGAAGAGACCAUGCUAAUAUGAGUAAUAAGAGACUAUAAAGACUCUCU